rnacentral:misc_RNA from 1 species
AAAGUGCGAUAUGUAGUGCGAUUUGCAUGAAUCUGUGAGUCAUCUAAUCUUUGAACGCAACUUGCGCCUCUCUGAUGCAUGUCUGUUUGAGUGCCGCAUAUAUCUAUGCAGCAAUGCGAUUUGACUAUUGUCUCUGGACUCUUGGUCUAAACGUAGCCAGAUGGUGGCAAGUGCCACUAGUCCGAGUGCUAAGCAUUCUUGGAUCUCGUCGUGUUGAUCGCUUAACAACUAUAUCUAUCUACCUAUUUUUGGCCUCAAAUCAGGCAAGACUACCCGCUGAACUUAA